GCCUCGGUAGCUCAGUCGGCAGAGCGCGUGCCUUUUUAGCCCGUGCCUUUUAAGCCCGUGGCCGCGGGUUCGGGCCCGCCCGAGGUG
rnacentral:tRNA from 1 species